ACCCGCUGGAACUUAAGCAUAUCAAUAAGCGGAGGAAAAGAAACCAACAGGGAUUGCCCUAGUAACGGCGAGUGAAGCGGCAACAGCUCAAAUUUGAAAUCUGGCCUCGGCCCGAGUUGUAAUUUGUAGAGGAUGCUUUUGGCGCGGCGCCUUCUGAGUUCCCUGGAACGGGACGCCAUAGAGGGUGAGAGCCCCGUAUAGUUGGACGCCUAGCCUCUGUAAAGCUCCUUCGACGAGUCGAGUAGUUUGGGAAUGCUGCUCAAAAUGGGAGGUAAAUUUCUUCUAAAGCUAAAUACCGGCCAGAGACCGAUAGCGCACAAGUAGAGUGAUCGAAAGAUGAAAAGCACUUUGAAAAGAGGGUUAAACAGCACGUGAAAUUGUUGAAAGGGAAGCGCUUGUGACCAGACUUGGGCCCUGCAAAUCAUCCGGCGUUCUCGCCGGUGCACUUUGCUGGGUCCAGGCCAGCAUCGGUUUCCCCGGGGGGAUAAAAGCUCUGGGAACGUAACUCCUCCGGGAGUGUUAUAGCCCUCUGCACAAUACCUCCGGGGGGACCGAGGACCGCGCUUCGGCAAGGAUGCUGGCGUAAUGGUCACCAGCGACCCGUCUUGAAACACGGACCAAGGAGUCAAGCAGUAGGGCGAGUGUUUGGGUGUAAAACCCGCACGCGUAAUGAAAGUAAACGUAGGUGAGAGCUUCGGCGCAUCAUCGACCGAUCCUGAUGUUUUCGGAUGGAUUUGAGUAAGAGCCUUACCGCUUGGACCCGAAAGAUGGUGAACUAUGCCUGUAUAGGGUGAAGCCAGAGGAAACUCUGGUGGAGGCUCGCAGCGGUUCUGACGUGCAAAUCGAUCGUCAAAUAUGGGCAUGGGGGCGAAAGACUAAUCGAACCAUCUAGUAGCUGGUUACCGCCGAAGUUUCCCUCAGGAUAGCAGUGUUGUUUUCAGUUUUAUGAGGUAAAGCGAAUGAUUAGGGACUCGGGGGCGCUAUAUUGCCUCCAUCCAUUCUCAAACUUUAAAUAUGUAAGAAGCCCUUGUUGCUUAAUUGAACGUGGGCAUUCGAAUGUAUCAACACUAGUGGGCCAUUUUUGGUAAGCAGAACUGGCGAUGCGGGAUGAACCGAACGCGGGGUUAAGGUGCCGGAGUGGACGCUCAUCAGACACCA
rnacentral:rRNA from 1 species